ACAGCCAUAUUGAAUUGAAAAACACUAGUUCUCAUAUGAUCAUCAAAGUUAAGCAACAUCAAGCCUGGUCAGUACCUUGAUGGGUGACCUCAUGGGAAUACCAGGUGCUGUAAG